AUCCUCUUGAACUUGGUGUCAUCUCAUUGAGACACAUCUCCACAAGAUGAGAGCGAAGUGGAGGAAGAAGCGCAUGCGCAGGCUGAAGCGUAAAAGGAGAAAGAUGAGGCAGAGGUCCAAGUAGACUGGCCCCAUUCUCCGCAGCUGUGACUCCUCAUCCUCCAUUCCUCCAGUCCCAGCCUGUCCUGGUUCCUGUGUAGCCCCGUGGUCCUGAGAUGUUCCUGGCAGAGCAGGCAGCGUCUUAGUCACCCUGCACUGGGCCCAGGAUGCAGAGCGUCUCCAGGGUUACCAGCGGGAUGCUGUCCGUGGGACACUGGAGGAGACCAGAGGGUGGAGGGUUCCUGACAAGGUUCGCCACCUGAUCCUGGGAAAAUCUGGACAUUAACACCAGCCCAGCACAGCUGCUAUUUUCCAAUGAAGACCACAAUAAAAUUUGGUUUAUAAACUA